GGGGGUGAUUGGCGUCGACCUGGACGAUGGCAUCCCUGGUGGCGAGCCGAGGCGCCGCUGGCCUCGUAAAAAGCGGCAAACCAACAAACGCGAACACUCAACCGUACGCGCUCGCGGCCUAAUCAGGCUGCGCGCCCAGCCGUCUCCUGCCGGCCGAGACGGAGCGGGCGUCAACCAUGCCGGCUAGCCUGACGCGGUCCGUCCGCGGCUCCGUCGGGGACACCUAAGCGGAACGGCACCGGAUGAAUCCUGUCUAUGGGAGGCUCCGGUGCGACAUAAAGCAUAGACUACGCUCGUAGAGGCCUGGGGUGUGUCUCCGGGGACCGGGGUUCGAGUCCCCGCACCUCCACAC
rnacentral:tmRNA from 1 species